rnacentral:rRNA from 1 species
UACGUAGGGUGCGAGCGUUGUCCGGAAUUACUGGGCGUAAAGGGCUCGUAGGCGGCCAACUAAGUCAGACGUGAAAUCCCUCGGCUUAACCGGGGAACUGCGUCUGAUACUGGAUGGCUUGAGAUUGGGAGAGGGAUGCGGAAUUCCAGGUGUAGCGGUGAAAUGCGUAGAUAUCUGGAGGAACACCGGUGGCGAAGGCGGCAUCCUGGACCAACACUGACGCUGAGGAGCGAAAGCCAGGGGAGCAAACGGG